ACGCACGCUGGCGGCGUGCUUAACACAUGCAAGUCGAACGGAAAGGCCCCUUUGGGGGUACUCGAGUGGCGAACGGGUGAGUAACACGUGAGUAACCUGCCCUUGACUUCGGGAUAACUUCAGGAAACUGGGGCUAAUACCGGAUAGGAAUCCUUGCUGCAUGGUGGGGGUUGGAAAGCUUCGGCGGUUUUGGAUGGACUCGCGGCUUAUCAGCUUGUUGGUGGGGUAGUGGCUUACCAAGGCUUUGACGGGUAGCCGGCCUGAGAGGGCGACCGGCCACAUUGGGACUGAGGUAGGGCCCGGACUCCUACGGGAGGCAGCAGUGGGAAAUAUUGCCCAAUGGGCGGAGGCCUGAUGCAGCAACGCCGCGUGCGGGAUGAUGGCCUUCGGGUUGUAAACGGCUUUCAGCAGGGGCGAGGCUUGUGGUGACGGUACCUGAAGAAGAAGCACCGGCUACCUACGU
rnacentral:rRNA from 1 species